GAGAGGAGCGCGUAGGAGAAAGGAGAGGUGUAGACCGGCCUCCUCUUGCGCCGCCGCCACCGUAGAGGACCGCUGCCGUCACCCCCGCCCGCUCCAACGUUCCACUGCCGGGCUCCACCGCCACCUCCUGGACGAGAAACCCAGCUCCACCCCGAGCGCUCCGAAGUUCCGCUGCCCGGCUUUGUUCCCACGUUCCUAGGCCAACCAGAUAACAAUGACGACCGCUACCUGCCUCCUCCACGAGAGCCUAGCUCCACCGUCGCGGCAGCCACUACGAUUCCCUCUUCCUUACCCGUUCGCUCCGGUCGUCCCCUUCCUUAACCCACACCGUAGUGUGCGACCGAACAACGAACGUGGACUUCUUCUGUCUAUGGUCGUCGGCUACCUGUGGUAGACCACAACCAAUGUCAUCCGAGACUCCGUCCUACACUAAGAAUAGAAAUUUCUCACCGUUCGAGCUCAACACUUAGACGACGAUAUGUAACAGACUCCUUUCGUUAUCCGUAUGUGUACUGUAAGUCGUUAGAGAGCCUACAUUCCGGUUACUCUAAACGUCCGAAGUACGUCAUUGUGAGAUUUAUCCACACAAUACGACCUCGUCCUCCGACCUUACUUAUAUCAUGGUACCUUCCAUCUUUCCGAUUCUGUUUCUUACUAAAAUCACCCUCCAAGUUGGACCCUCUCCACGCGACUUGAUGAGUUCUUUUCUCAAAUCCCUGCCGUCGUCAAGAUGGUGGCUACCACAACGUACAUUCGACCUACAAGAGUAACAAGACAACCGGGACUAGCCACACCUACGAUACUUCAAUUCCAAGAAAUCUACUUACGACAAAUAUCUUCACUACGUACUACACUCCAUGUUGAUACUUUCACUGUAAUUAAAACCAAAACGAAGGAUAGGCGUCGGAGAAGAUGUGAUCUUUUCCUUUUGUGAGUUGCUAGACCGAGACAGAGCCCAUACACGAGGGAACGGGCGUUCUAGACGAGAGAGGGUAAAUGCGUAGCGCCGUCGUGAAGUAGAGGAGAACACCUAAGAGUGGUCUAGUCCGGUGGAGUGAGUGGAAGUCCUGGAGCGGCCGUCUAGGGAGUCGAUAGUUCCUUCCGUCGGUAGUCGCCUCUAACUCCCACGGAGAGACCGCUCUCACGUGCACAGGCCCACCAAAGGGUAGUCGUCGCACCCACUCCGCCACAGAAGACGUCGAUCCAGAUGAACGACCGAUGGAGUGGUAGUGGUCGGGUAGACAUCUACUCCUACAUGCUUCCUAAACCGGCACUUGAGUUAGUCUGGUAACCUAACUUCGAUUUCCCCCGUAACGUUUCUAUACUUCCUUACCGGAAAGCAAGUCUUGGACCAGUCGAUGUAUUGAAGACCAGCAUGUACAAAGACAACGUCGCCGGGUCAGUGCGCCUCUUCUUACCGUCUGCGACUCUUAACACAGUCGACUAAAAGAUUAAGUACAAGUCGAGUACCUAAGAGUAAAUAGAGAAGGUAAAUGUGUUGCUCUACGUACUACGAGACUGUUCGCCUUUGUAGUCCUGAUGUCUGUCUAUCUUCUUCGAAAAUAGUUUCAGAGGGGAAAGACUGUUAACUCUCUUAAAAAUACGUUCUAUUUAAAUUGAGACAAGAACCAGUACUUAGAAAUGCACAGACACGAGUUGACUUAGCACAAAGGAACCACACUAGAGAGGGUCUCGUUCUUCAUCAUAUUGGCCGCCCUUUACGAUCUGAAAAAACGAUACAUGGUAGUUCUAUCAUACCGAAUAGUAAAAUUUAUCGUUACGGAUUACUCACGACUAGUAUAAUCAGGAAUUAUGAGACAGAACGACCGGUACAUGAUUUUUACCGUGAAGGUGCAGAUUACUUCUAUUCAUACGAACACUAUACGAGUUAGACCCUAACAGGUCAGACUACAAAUGAAUACGAAAUAUUUAUCCUCCCUCACCCCCCUUUCUCGAUAUCUUCUUAUGUGGGACAAUAGUGAGGAUUAAGUUAUCAUACCAUCAUAAGUAUUCCUUUAUAUUCAUCCGUAGCCAGAGAUUUAUAAGAUUGAAAGUACCAAACUUUCGGACCAAGCG
rnacentral:rRNA from 1 species